rnacentral:rRNA from 1 species
CAGUCGCCGCGGUAAUACGUAGGGUGCAAGCGUUAAUCGGAAUUACUGGGCGUAAAGCGUGCGCAGGCGGUUUGUUAAGACAGAUGUGAAAUCCCCGGGCUCAACCUGGGAACUGCAUUUGUGACUGGCAAGCUAGAGUAUGGCAGAGGGGGGUGGAAUUCCGCGUGUAGCAGUGAAAUGCGUAGAUAUGCGGAGGAACACCGAUGGCGAAGGCAGCCCCCUGGGCCAAUACUGACGCUCAUGCACGAAAGCGUGGGGAGCAAACAGGAUUAGAUACCCCAGUAGUCCCUGUCUCUUAUAA